AAUUACGGAUAUCUCCCCGCUCUGCACUUCGGAACUAAAUUCAAGUUCAAACAAAAAUUCAUCUGAGGUUAAAGACACGUGCUGAUGAUAAGAGGAAGUUUAGGGAUAGAGAUGAGAAUUUUGAGUUGAAAUAAAGAGUGCUUCUAUACGGCCGCCUACACAGCACACCUUAUGUGUAAUUUCUUUUUUUUUUUUUAUUUUAACAUGCGUUUUGUUUUACUUUUGCUGUUAUUUCAGCCUCCUACCAUUUGAAAUGUUCUCUGGCCCCGCCAUUCGAAUUUCGAAAUCUUUUCCAGCCCCCUCCCUUCCGACACGCACCAAUAGCCUUCACGUGUGCUGCACCGUGCCGACGUACUCCCCCAUGUUCUCUCGGUGACGACGAUCUGUUCGCAGCAUUCACUUUUUACAGAUCGACCAAGAUCUGCCUCAGAUUGUGUAGCUGAGCUUUCUGUCUCUCAAAGGUGUUUGUGAAAUGGAAACUGUGAUGGAGUGAGAGAGGGAGAAAGAAAGCAUGCAUACUGAUUUGGUGCAAUCUUACAGCAUCGUGUGACUAGACAGGUGACAACUGAUUUUUUGGCAGCAUCGUGAGACUGGACUUGAGAAUUAUUUUUUGGCAGCUUGUAUACAUGCUGCUUUCCAGACAUGUUGUGCAGAAUUUUCUGGGGAUAUAAAUAUCAGCAGCUUGUGUGGAGAAACAUGGCUAGAUUGUGUAUAUGCUGUUUGUGGGCAGUUAUGUGUACCAUCCAUGUACAUAAAUGUUGUGGAUUGUGUCCAAGUAUAUGUGUAUAGAUGGUUUUGUGUCCAGUUGUGUAAGCACUUAGUGAAUAUUUUCGAUUGUGGAGACCUUUAACAAUGUUGAUGUAUAGAUUUUGAUUCCUUUAACAAUGCUUACGUAUAGAUUUUGAUUCCAAAUCUUACUUAUCAAAAAAAGAUUUUGAUUCCAAAUCAGGAAUUUGGAGUAUUUGUUGUAAAGCUUACCAUGUGUAUUUGCAUAUGAAAUCAAUCAUGGUUCAAUGUCAA